GCGAGGAUGGCGGAAUUGGCAGACGCGUAAGACUCAGAAUCUUAUGUCCUUCUGGAUGUGGGGGUUCAAGUCCCCCUCUUCGCACCA
rnacentral:tRNA from 1 species